ACCAGUCCACCUUGUGUGUGAUAAGGCAUCGAUAAAAUUAUGUUUUGCAUUGAAUGUGGGGUGGUUUUAGGCCCCACAAACAAGUUUUGUGGUUCAUGUGGCGCCCCAGUCUGUGUCAAAAGGAAAGUAACAACAGAACCUGACAC